rnacentral:rRNA from 1 species
GUCUCCGGCCAAGCCGGCCUGAACGCGCCCGGUCUCGUCUGAUCUCCGAAGCUAAGCAGGGUCGGGCCUGGUUAGUACUUGGAUGGGAUUCCGCCUGGGAAUACCGGGUGCCGUAGGCU